rnacentral:rRNA from 1 species
CCGUGUCUCUGGCUCCCCGCCCUCCUACCUGGUUGAUCCUGCCGCCAUGCAUGUCUAAGUGAAUGGCUCAUUAAAUCAGUUGUGGUUCCUUUGAUCGCUAGCUCCUCUCCUACUUGGAUAACUGUGGUAAUUCUGGAGCUAAUACAUGCCGAUGGGGGCUGACCCCCCCUCGUGGGGGUGAUGUGUGCAUUUAUCAGAUCAAAACAAACCCAGUCAGCCUCCCCCUGGCCCCGGCCAGGGGACGGGCGCCGGUGGCUUCGGUGACUCUAGAUAACCUCGGGCUGAUCGCACACCCACCCCCCGUGGUGGCGACGACCCAUUUGAAUGGCCCUAUCAACUUUCGAUGGUAGUCUCUGUGCCUACCAUGGUGACCACGGGUGACGGGAAUCAGGGUUCAAUUCUGGAGAGGGGGCCUGAGAAACGGCUACCACAUCCAAGGAAGGCAGCAGGCGAGCAAAUUACCCACUCCCGACCCGGGGAGGUAGUGAUGAAAAAUAACAAUACAGGACCCUUUUGAGGUCCUUUAAUUGGAAUGAGUCCACUUUAAAUCCUUUAAUGAGGAUCCAUUGGAGGGCAAGUCUGAUGCCAGCAGCCGCGGUAAUUCCAGCUCCAAUAGCGUAUAUUAAAGUUGCUGCAGUUAAAAAGCUCCUAGUUGGAUCUUGGGAGCGGGCGGGAAGUCCGCCUUGAGGCGAGGCGAGCCACCACCCGUCCCCACCCCUUGCCUCUAGGCGCCCCCUCGAUGCUCUUAGCUGAGUGUCCCGCGGGGCCUGAAGUGUUUACUUUGAAAAAAUUAGGGUGUUCAAAGCCGGCCGAGCCGCCUGGAUACUGCAGCUAGGGAUAAUGGAAUAGGACUGUGGUUCUAUUUGGUUGGUUUUCGGAACUGAGGCCUUGAUUAAGAGGGAUGGCCAGGGGCAUUCGUAUUGCGCCGCUAGAGGUGAAAUUCUUGGACAGGCGCAAAGCGUCUGAGCGAAAGCAUUUGCCAAGAAUGUUUUCAUUAAUCAAGAACGAAAGUCGGAGGUUUGAAGACGAUCAGAUACCGUCAUAGUUCCGACCAUAAACGAUGCCAACUGGCGAUGCAGCGGCGUUAUUCCCAUGACCCGCCGGGCAGCUUCCGGGAAACCAAAGCCUUUGGGUUCCGGGGGGGAGUAUGGUUGCAAAGCUGAAACUUAAAGGAAAUGACAGAGGGGCACCACCAGGAGUGGAGCCUGUGGCUUAAUUUGAUUCAACACGGGAAACCGCACCCCACCCCAGACAUGGACAAGAUUGACAGAUUGAUAGCUCUUUCUCGAUUCCGUGGGUAGUGGUGCAUGGCCGUUCUUAGUUGGUGGAGCGAUUUGUCUGGUUAAUUCUUUUUUUUUUUUUUUUAAAGAUUUUAUUUAUUUAUUUAUUCGACAGAGAUAGAGACAGCCAGCGAGAGAGGGAACACAAGCAGGGGGGAGUGGGAGAGGAAGAAGCAGGCUCAUAGCAGAGGAGCCUGAUGUGGGGCUCGAUCCCAUAACGCCAGGAUCACGCCCUGAGCCGAAGGCAGACGCUUAACCGCUGUGCCACCCAGGCGCCCCUGUCUGGUUAAUUCUGAUAACAAAUGAGACUCUGGCAUGCUAACUAGUUACGCGACCCCCGAGUGGUCGGUGUCCCCCAACUUCUUAGAGGGACAAGUGGCGUUCAGCCACCAGAGAUUGAGCAAUAACAGGUCUGUGAUGCCCUUAGAUGUCCGGGGCUGCACGCGUGCUAAACUGACUGGCUCAGUGUGUGCCUACCCAACAAUGGCAGGCGCGGGUAACCCGUUGAACUCCAUUCGUGUUGGGGAUCAGGGAUUGCAAUUAUUCCCCAUGAACGAGGAAUUCCCACUAAGUGAGGGUCAUAAGCUUGUGUUGAUUAAGUCCCUGCCCUUUGUACACACCGCUCAUCGCUACUACCGAUUGCAUGGUUUAGUGAGGCCCUCGGAUCGGCCCCACCGGGGUCGGCCCACGGCCCUGGUGGAGUGCUGAGAAGAUGGUUGAAUUUGACUAUCUAGAGGAAGUAAAAGUAACAAGGUUUCCGUAGGUGAACCUGUGGAAG